GAUGAACGCUAGCGGCAGGCUUAACACAUGCAAGUCGAGGGGCAGCGUGAGGGUUAGCAAUAACCCUUGACGGCGACCGGCGCAAGGGUGCGUAACGCGUGAGCAACUUGCCCUUAUCAGGGGGAUAACCGGUGGAAACGCCGACUAAUACCCCAUGGCAUCACAAUGAGGCAUCUUUUUGUGAUUAAAGAAAUUCGGAUAAGGAUAGGCUCGCGUGACAUUAGCUAGACGGCGGGGUAACGGCCCACCGUGGCGACGAUGUCUAGGGGUUCUGAGAGGAAGGUCCCCCACACUGGAACUGAGACACGGUCCAGACUCCUACGGGAGGCAGCAGUGAGGAAUAUUGGUCAAUGGUCUGACGACUGAACCAGCCAUGCCGCGUGAAGGUCACGGCCCUAUGGGUCUUAAACUUCUUUUGCGAGGGAGCAAUAAGGUCUACGUGUAGUCCGAUGAGAGUACCUCGCGAAUAAGCAUCGGCUAACUCCGUGCCAGCAGCCG
rnacentral:rRNA from 1 species